AUGGCGGCCGCGGCAGCUGACGUUCUCCUGCCUUCCAAGAGGCAAAAGAAUAACCCCAGUUGUCUGGGAACCUUGCCAGUCCUUCCGGCCACGGCAACUGCAGACUGGUCCUCGCUCCAGCCCGACAUAGUCCGCCACAUCGCCAACUCCUUCCUCACCACCGACGACGUCGACUGCUACAUGGACUUGCGCGCCGUCUGCCACAACUGGCGCUGCGCCACCGACGACCCCAAGGACGACACUUCAGACCCUCGGUUCCUCCCGUAUCGGUGGAUCAUCCUCAACGACGCCUUUCAGAGUGGCACGCGUCGCCUCUUGGUCAACACCAGCACUGGCCGGUUCCUCCACAGGGAGCUCCCAUUGCUCCGCGACUACUAUGUCAUAACCACCACUCUCACCGGCUUCUUCAUCCUGACUGAUAGGAGCCCUCCUCAUGCCGCUCGUGUAUUCAACCCUCUCACCGGCGGCACCAUCCCAUUCACGGUGCCUGUGCCGCCCGAGGUGAAUGUUGCCGGUUCCAUCUGCUUUGACUUCACUUUGCCUUUGCUCACCUUGCUCUGCGACUCAUCUCACAAGCUGUACAUGGCCAGGCCUGACCAGUUUGAAGUCGAAGACCAUAAGUUUCCAGUUUAUAGUUUCAUCCGAAGGGCAGUCGUAGGUGGUUUGAUCGGUCGUUGGUGGGGAUCAGCCGGAAUGGCUGACGUGAUUGGCAAGAUCUUGGGUGUGGCAGAGUCGCUCCGUGCUCAUCCAUUGAAGUUUUUUUCCACUGAUCCUCCUGAGAUGGGGUCUGCAGACAACGCCCGGUGUUUCCUAAUGGACUUUGGUGGACAUCUGCUGGCCAUCAUCAAGGGACAAGGACUCAUCCAGGUUUUCAAGUGCGAUGACGAGAAUGGCACACUUUCGCAUGUGAAGAGCAUCAUCAAGCAUGCCAUCUUCAUUGGUCACCAUAGGUGCCUAGCUGUGAACACCGAUAUGUUCCCAUCGAUUGAGGCAAACUGUAUUUACUAUACUGAACACCUGGGUUCCUCUGCUCGUAUCUGGAAGUUCAACAUCGAGGACAGGAAAGUAGAGACGGUCUCGGAAGCUGUUGAUUUUGCGAAGAAGGACAAGCAGUUUGUCCUCGUCGCCGACCGUCCUUUCACGAUCAUCCAGCUUCUCUCGAGCUACACCAUCAACAUCCAGGAUUCUGAACUGGCCUUACAACAGAUCACAUAA
rnacentral:rRNA from 1 species